CGCGCCCCGCCGGUAUGAGCGGGUCACUUUGAUGUGGUGAAAUAUGGGGGUAAAGUCCCUCGGGCGUGG
rnacentral:tRNA from 1 species